CUGCAGCUUAUUAAACCCACCAGUUCUCCUCCUGUGCAGUUCUGGUGUGCAGAGGCUGCAGACAGUGAGGAUUGGUUGUGUAUGUCCUCAGAUGGGAGGUGCUGAGUGCUUUAAUGGACCAUUGAGACAAAU